rnacentral:tRNA from 1 species
CGGGGUGCUGGCCGAGGUGGCCGAGCUGGGCGUGACCGUCGCCCUGACCCGGUUCGGCGCCGGCCACUCCGCCC